GUGUAGUUUCUUUGGAAAUACGCUUUGGUAGUUAUUUAAUUGGGCAAGUGGAAAAUUACUUUUUAUGAAGAUGGUUUCUGCAUAUCACAAAAACGCCGUGUGCUGAGUCAUGCAGUAAGUGAAAGCGCCUAGAUAAGAGCAGCCGUUUGUUCUUCCCGAUAAGGCACCCCCUACUGUUUUCUCUGGAAUCCAACUGGCAUGCCUGAUGACUGGCGUUUUUAUAAAUCAGUGAGUAUUUACACGUCUCAAACAGGCAAGUUUAAAACCACAAAGUCAGGGGUAUGUUAAAAACUUGACUUCGGGUCUUAGUGAUCCAUUGAUCUUUUCAUUUCUUCAUUUCGGGUCCGGCUGCUUUGCAUGAGGAUGUUUUUCUCAUGUCUCUUGUUGCCGGGCUUACAGGAGAGUUGGGUGAUAGAACAUGACGAGCAGAGAACGCACCGGCCUCUGACAGCCGCUCUGUGCAGAUCGGUCCUUCAGCCACGCACAGGAAGUGCCACCAGAGUGGGACAUGUCUUCUAUCCUCUUGGAAGUGAUGAAACCGCUUUUCAGAAAUCACAGCAGUGAGAAAACUGUGACGUUGAAUGAUACCUGACCUAACCCACCCCCAUCCGGCCUUUGACCUCCAAACUGUCUUUCAUCAUUCCUAGGCCUGGGCCAAACUAACUGGGAGAUAUUUAUAGUUUAAACGAUAAUAGCCCUUCUCUCAAACUGAACUGCCUGCGUAAAGCUAAUGAAAGGCCACUAGGUUAGGAGGAUGAGAGGAGCCUGGAUUCUGCUAAAAUAUAGAUGUAAACGACAACCAGCCAUUACUCCGGAGGUCACAAGAUCUGCAGCUUCUGCAGAUAAACAUCACUAUUGUAGAACCUAAGAUUGGCCGUUUGAGAUGUCCUUUCAAGUUUUUGCAUUUCUGGUGUCUGACUGGUCCUGUGGCCCCACUCAGAAGCGGACUCCCUGGCCUGCUAAACUAUCCUUGAAAAACGCUAACCUCCAAAUUUUCGGGGAAAUUGAUUUGAGUAAUAACUCCAUCUCCCAUGUGGCGUGGCUGGCCUCGUGUCAGUUAAACUUUCUUUAUGCAAUGCCAUAGUUUCAGUGAAUUGUUUUUUCUGUGCAGUGGGCAGGAGUUUUAACCUCUUAAUUUUGGAUCCAGCCUUCAGGCGGUGACUGUGAUUGGAUAAUUACUUUAGUAGCAUUAGAUACUGAGGCUGCCGCACUCAGGUGGAUAGAAUGGGCAGGAAACAUGACUUGAAUGCGGCAGGGACUCUACACCAGCAUCUGCCCCCUGCAAAAGGGCUCUAGGAACUUGACAGUCAUUCCCACCUUCUGUGCACAUUCGAUCACUGCAGAGAGCAUGGGAAUGUGCUUGCCUGGCCGCUCUGGGCCCAAGCUCCCAUGUGAGCGUUUGUGUUAAACCAAAAAUAAAAUUCCAAAAACCAAAAGCCCUACAUCCAACUGAAUGGACUCCCACUCUUGGCCAACAGGAUUGCAAAGAAACCCGAAAAACAAGUCAGGCCGUGACGGGAAGGGGAGGGUCUGAUAUGCCUCAUUGUACCCUCUCCCUUUGGGGUUCAGGCACAGCUGACGGCAUUAACUAACACAGAGACCUUCAGACUGACCAGACAGGCUCUGGAAGUGAUAGGAACGAGGCCCAGGGUGCAGGAGGAGCCUCGAGGGCUCACACUCGCUCUCCUACUGCCUUAUGAAGAAGGUGCUUGUCAUGCGCAUCUGUGUGAAGAGACCACCAAACAGGCUUUGUGUGAGCAACAUGGCUGUUUAUUUCACCUGGGUGCAGGCGGGCUGAGUCCGAAAAGAGAGUCAGCGCAGGGAGAGAAGGGUGGGGCCGUUUUAUAGGAUUUGGGUAGGUAAAGGAAAAUUACAGUCAAAGGGGAGUUGUUCUCUGGUGGGCAGGAGUGGGGGUCACAAGGUGCUCAGUGGGGGAGCUUUUUGAGCCAGGAUGAGCCAGGAAAAGGUAUUUCACAAGAUAAUAUCAUUGCUUAAGGCAAGGACCGGCCAUUUUCACUUCUUUUGUGGUGGAAUGUCAUCAGUUAAGUCGAGGCAGGGCAUUUGCACAUCUUUUGUGAUUCUUCAGUUACCUCAGGUCAUCUGGGCGUAAACGUGCAAGUCACAGGGGAUGCGAUGGCUUGGCUUGGGCUUAGAGGCCUGACAGUGCUUACUUCCCUCUUGCCUUCCGCCGUGAUCGUAAGUUUCCUGAGGCCUCCCCUGCCAUGUGGAGCUGUGAGUCAAUUCAACCAUUUUCCUUUAGAAAUUACCCAGUCUCGGGUAUUUCUUUAUAGCAGCGUGAAAGUGAACCAAUACAGCAAAAUAAGCUUUCUAAAUGGAUGGAGACCUGUCUCGGAUACUUUUGAGUUCACACUUUCGUCCGUGGGCUGUGGUGUAAUAUCGUCUUUUCAGGCCUCCCCGUGGAGCUGGGAUCUUCUGGAGUGAUGAUUUCAUUUUUCUACGACGUGUAGCUUAAUUUAUGGUCUAUGUACAUUUUCCUCUUUGCAGCAGCUAACCUUCACUCAUUUACUAUGGCAUUUUUUAGAAUUUUACCGUUUGUCAAUAACUUCCUUUGCAAAGUGUUCCUGCUCUCUGGCAUGACUUUUUUAUUUUAUUUAUUUAUUUUUUUAGACAGUGUUGCUCUGUCUCCAGGCUGGAGUGCAGUGGCAUGAUCUCAGCUCACUGCAACCUCCACCUCCUGGGUUCAAG
rnacentral:lncRNA from 1 species